rnacentral:lncRNA from 1 species
AAUGCCAAAUAAACUGAACAGGCAGAAAAUAUCUUAUAUUCCUGUUUUUUUAACAGCUUUUGUGUUUUUAUUUCUCACUUACCGUAAACCAUCUUCUUCUGUUGUCAGCCGUUGCUAUGGAAACAGUUAUGAUGCUGCGUUCGAGUGCUGUGGGAAACUACCAAAUCCAACAGCGACAUCCGCCUGAUUCCUGACCCCGGGAUUCCGCUGGAUGCGGAACGGCUCCGGAACGGCCCCGGAACGGCUCCGUCCUCCGCCGAACAGCGGGAGUGGCGAGGACUCACGAGAUCUCGCGAAUUCACGCAUAAUCGCGCGAUACAGCCGGUAGUAGUUUGUAUCAGAACCACAGCGCCGUUGAAAGUUUCUGGCGUCCGUCCAGAGGACGUUUAUUGGACCGCAUUAGUCAUUUACCGUCCGUUUACUCCUGCCGCGUCCUUUUUAUGGGUGUUUUUAUGAAAAGGACGUGACGGGUCAGAUUAUUCUGUUAUUUUGGACCUCCACAAUCAAAAUCUCGUCCAUUGUGUCAACGGGGUGAAAUGACCUGUUGACUUCCGGUCUGUCGCCGCCCAUAAUGACGUCACCAAGGUGUGAAAGCCGCCGUGAACACGGGAUGUCUUAUUUUGAAAAUACACCGGAUGUUUUAUUUUGUGUCUGUGCACGUUUUCUGUCCCGCGUUAUUUAUGUGCCGUGCUCUGGGCAGGCAGACAGACAGGCAGGCAGGCAGGCAGACAGACAGGCAGACAGGCAGGCAGACAGACAGGCAGACAGACAGGCAGACAGACAGACAGACAGGCAGGCAGACAGACAGGCAGACAGACAGACAGACAGACAGACAGACAGACAGACAGGCAGGCAGACAGACAGACACACACGCCGACAGACAGACAGACAGACAGACAGACAGACAGACAGACAGACAGACAGACAGGCCGACAGACUUCAUCCAUCCUCGGAGCCUCGCUGGAUCGGCCCUCCUCUGCGGGGCCAGCCGCCCGGAGAUGAUGAGUUACGGGACGUUUCACCGUCAGCUGAGCUCCAUCAUGGAGACGCUGACUAAAGCCGCCGUGGCGGAGAUCAGCGGGCUGGUGGAGCAGAGCCACGCCGCGCUGCAGCUGGAGAUCUCCCGCAGCCACCGGGAGAACGCGGCGCUGCGGAGGAAGCUCGGCCUGAUCGGGACCAUCAUCGCCCGGGGACAGCGGGGGGAGGCCGGCGGGGCGCUGAUGGACCUCACCGCCGAAUGUAUCCCUGUGAUGGAGACAGCCGACCUGAACCCGAGAACCAAUGAG